ensembl:misc_RNA Metazoa_SRP Metazoan signal recognition particle RNA
GCCAGGUGCAGUGAUUCACACCUGUAGUCCCAGCUACUCAGGAGGCUGAGGCUGGAGGAUUGCUUGAGCCCAGGAGUUCAAGGCUGUAGUAUGUUAUGAUCAUGCCUGUGAAUAGCCACUGCACUCCAGCCUGGGCAACAUAGCAGGACCCUGUCUCUA